GGUAUUACGUACAAGUUCGAUAAAAAAAAGGUACUUAUGUAUAAGAUGGUAACUUUGAACUAUUAUGUUCUUUUAUAGUUGCAAUUUUUUACCUUUUUAUAUCGAAUGGUCUUUUUGCAUUUUUGCAUUAGUGGUUUCCAAAAGUUGUAUUAGUUUUUGCAUCCAUUUUUGCAGGUUCAAUGGUUAUAGGAAGCAUUACUGUAAAAUUUGAAAGCUAUAUUGCAAUCACCUUUGAUGUCUUUUUCUUUUAGUAUAUUGUUAGAGGUGGUAAAUGGUUCACCCAAUCAAAUAGAAGGUCUUUCAUUUGAAAGAAAAAAAAGGGUCAUGCA
rnacentral:misc_RNA from 1 species